UACAGAGGUCUCAAGCGUUGUUCGGAUUCAUUGGGCGUAAAGGGUGUGUAGGUGGCGCCGUAAGUGGGGUGUGAAAUCUCGGGGCUUAACUCCGAAACUGCAUUCCAUACUGCGGUGCUUGAGGACUGGAGAGGAGAUUGGAAUUCAUGGUGUAGCAGUGAAAUGCGUAGAGAUCAUGAGGAAGACCAGUGGCGAAGGCGGGUCUCUGGACAGUUCCUGACACUGAGACACGAAGGCCAGGGGAGCAAACGGG
rnacentral:rRNA from 1 species